AGAUUGAACGCUGGCGGCAGGCCUAACACAUGCAAGUCGAACGGUAACAGGAAACAGCUUGCUGUUUCGCUGACGAGUGGCGGACGGGUGAGUAAUGUCUGGGAAACUGCCUGAUGGAGGGGGAUAACUACUGGAAACGGUAGCUAAUACCGCAUAACGUCGCAAGACCAAAGAGGGGGACCUUCGGGCCUCUUGCCAUCAGAUGUGCCCAGAUGGGAUUAGCUAGUAGGUGGGGUGACGGCUCACCUAGGCGACGAUCCCUAGCUGGUCUGAGAGGAUGACCAGCCACACUGGAACUGAGACACGGUCCAGACUCCUACGGGAGGCAGCAGUGGGGAAUAUUGCACAAUGGGCGCAAGCCUGAUGCAGCCAUGCCGCGUGUAUGAAGAAGGCCUUCGGGUUGUAAAGUACUUUCAGCGGGGAGGAAGGGAGUAAAGUUAAUACCUUUGCUCAUUGACGUUACCCGCAGAAGAAGCACCGGCUAACUCCGUGCCAGCAGCCGCGGUAAUACGAAGGGUGCAAGCGUUAAUCGGAAUUACUGGGCGUAAAGCGCACGCAGGCGGUUUGUUAAGUCAGAUGUGAAAUCCCCGGGCUCAACCUGGGAACUGCAUCUGAUACUGGCAAGCUUGAGUCUCGUAGAGGGGGGUAGAAUUCCAGGUGUAGCGGUGAAAUGCGUAGAGAUCUGGAGGAAUACCGGUGGCGAAGGCGGCCCCCUGGACGAAGACUGACGCUCAGGUGCGAAAGCGUGGGGAGCAAACAGGAUUAGAUACCCUGGUAGUCCACGCCGUAAACGAUGUCGACUUGGAGGUUGUGCCCUUGAGGCGUGGCUUCCGGAGCUAACGCGUUAAGUCGACCGCCUGGGGAGUACGGCCGCAAGGUUAAAACUCAAAUGAAUUGACGGGGGCCCGCACAAGCGGUGGAGCAUGUGGUUUAAUUCGAUGCAACGCGAAGAACCUUACCUGGUCUUGACAUCCACGGAAGUUUUCAGAGAUGAGAAUGUGCCUUCGGGAACCGUGAGACAGGUGCUGCAUGGCUGUCGUCAGCUCGUGUUGUGAAAUGUUGGGUUAAGUCCCGCAACGAGCGCAACCCUUAUCCUUUGUUGCCAGCGGUCCGGCCGGGAACUCAAAGGAGACUGCCAGUGAUAAACUGGAGGAAGGCGGGGAUGACGUCAAGUCAUCAUGGCCCUUACGACCAGGGCUACACACGUGCUACAAUGGCGCAUACAAAGAGAAGCGACCUCGCGAGAGCAAGCGGACCUCAUAAAGUGCGUCGUAGUCCGGAUUGGAGUCUGCAACUCGACUCCAUGAAGUCGGAAUCGCUAGUAAUCGUGGAUCAGAAUGCCACGGUGAAUACGUUCCCGGGCCUUGUACACACCGCCCGUCACACCAUGGGAGUGGGUUGCAAAAGAAGUAGGUAGCUUAACCUUCGGGAGGGCGCUUACCACUUUGUGAUUCAUGACUGGGGUGAAGUCGAAACAAGGUAACCGUAAGGGAUCCUGCGGUUG
rnacentral:rRNA from 1 species